rnacentral:rRNA from 1 species
UGAGGAAUAUUGGUCAAUGGGCGCAGGCCUGAACCAGCCAAGUAGCGUGAAGGAUGACUGCCCUAUGGGUUGUAAACUUCUUUUGUAUGGGAAUAAAGUUUUCCACGUGUGGAAUUUUGUAUGUACCAUAUGAAUAAGGAUCGGCUAACUCCGUGCCAGCAGCCGCGGUAAUACGGAGGAUCCGAGCGUUAUCCGGAUUUAUUGGGUUUAAAGGGAGCGUAGGUGGACAGUUAAGUCAGUUGUGAAAGUUUGCGGCUCAACCGUAAAAUUGCAGUUGAUACUGGCUGUCUUGAGUACAGUAGAGGUGGGCGGAAUUCGUGGUGUAGCGGUGAAAUGCUUAGAUAUCACGAAGAACUCCGAUUGCGAAGGCAGCUCACUGGACUGCAACUGACACUGAUGCUCGAAAGUGUGGGUAUCAAACAGGAUUAGAUACCCUGGUAGUCCACACAGUAAACGAUGAAUACUCGCUGUUUGCGAUAUACAGUAAGCGGCCAAGCGAAAGCAUUAAGUAUUCCACCUGGGGAGUACGCCGGCAACGGUGAAACUCAAAGGAAUUGACGGGGGCCCGCACAAGCGGAGGAACAUGUGGUUUAAUUCGAUGAUACGCGAGGAACCUUACCCGGGCUUAAAUUGCAUUUGAAUAUAUUGGAAACAGUAUAGUCGUAAGACAAAUGUGAAGGUGCUGCAUGGUUGUCGUCAGCUCGUGCCGUGAGGUGUCGGCUUAAGUGCCAUAACGAGCGCAACCCUUAUCUUUAGUUACUAACAGGUCAUGCUGAGGACUCUAGAGAGACUGCCGUCGUAAGAUGUGAGGAAGGUGGGGAUGACGUCAAAUCAGCACGGCCCUUACGUCCGGGGCUACACACGUGUUACAAUGGGGGGUACAGAAGGCAGCUACCUGGUGACAGGAUGCUAAUCCCAAAAGCCUCUCUCAGUUCGGAUCGAAGUCUGCAACCCGACUUCGUGAAGCUGGAUUCGCUAGUAAUCGCGCAUCAGCCAUGGCGCGGUGAAUACGUUCCC